UACGAAGGGGGCUAGCGUUGUUCGGAAUUACUGGGCGUAAAGGGCGCGUAGGCGGUUUAUCAAGUCAGGCGUGAAAGCCCCGGGCUCAACCUGGGAAUUGCGCUUGAUACUGGUAGACUUGAGUUCGGGAGAGGUGAGUGGAAUUCCCAGUGUAGAGGUGAAAUUCGUAGAUAUUGGGAAGAACACCGGUGGCGAAGGCGGCUCACUGGACCGAUACUGACGCUGAGGCGCGAAAGCGUGGGGAGCAAACAGG
rnacentral:rRNA from 2 species